rnacentral:rRNA from 1 species
UACGUAGGGUGCAAGCGUUGUCCGGAAUUAUUGGGCGUAAAGAGCGUGUAGGCGGCCCGAUUAGUCCGCUGUGAAAGUCCAGGGCUCAACCCUGGAAUGCCGGUGGAUACUGUCGGGCUAGAGUCCGGAAGGGGCGAGUGGAAUUCCUGGUGUAGCGGUGAAAUGCGCAGAUAUCAGGAGGAACACCGGUGGUGUAGACGGCUAUCUGGACCGUAACUGACGCUGAGGCACGAAAGCGUGGGUAGCAAACAGG